GUAGAGUAAGCAUUGUGCGUAAAGUGUCACAGGAUGGGAUGUUGCCUGUGAACGAAAAAUCAUAUCGAUUUGCGAUAUAAUGCUGCAUCCACUA
rnacentral:ncRNA from 1 species